UAAUAGCUCAUGCAUUCUAGUUCUACUCAAUAGGUCCACCAUAAACAAUUGUUUGAUUUGUUGUAAUUGACCAUUACGGGCUCAAUGGAAUCAAUCUCUAUUACAGUAGGAUCUGUAAUAACAAUUCAAGGGUUUGGGGUCUGAAUUGGCUAUUCAAUAAAACCCGUGUUCACAUUUCGUUUUCUUUUUGGACCAAAAUAUUCUGGCAAUGUCUUACCAGAACUUCAUUCAUUUUGCUCCUUGAAACUAAACGACAAACCCUUUUGCUUCCUUCUCCUCUACAGGUAAAUGGGUUCUGUGCUUUUUUUUUUCUUUCUUGUUUUGAAACUUUUAAUGAGAAUUUAUGGGUUAUUUUUUGGGGUUUAGUGUUGUUUUUACUAUAUAUGUUCUUAGCCUUUUCAGUUUGGAGGGUUUUUUUGGGUUUAAAUCUAUGAGAUUUUCUUACUAGAAGUUUAUUCAUUUUGCUCUUAAUGAAACUAAAUGACAUACCCUUUUGCUUCCUUCUCCUCCACAGGUAAAUGGGUUUUGUGCUCUCUCUCUUUUUUCUUUUCUUUUUUUUUUGAACAUUUUAAUGAGAAUUCAUGGGUUUUUUUUGGGUUUAGUGUUGUUUUUACUAUACAUGUUCUCAGCCUUUUCAGUUUGGAGGUUUUUUUUUGGGUUUAAAUCCAUGGGAUUUUCAGGUUAGAGUUACUGAUGCAGACAUACAAUACUAUAUGGAUGAAUAAUUUGUAUUACUUUUAGCUAAUUUCCAUGUUGAAAUGAGUUUUACUAUACAUUUUUGUGUCUAUUCGAUGUUUAGUUGAGGAACACUGCAGAUAUGGAUUAUGGAGUUUACUUUUGGCAAUAUCUUUACAAAUUAUUACUCCAACUUUUAUAUUUGUUGCUUUUAUUAUUUAUAUUAAGUCCUAUGCAUAGUAAUUCAGCUUUGUUAAACUCUGAUUAGAACUUGAUAAACUCCAUUGUUCUCUAGAAUUUAAUGUUUAGAGAACUGAUAUUUUUCAUCUGGGUUUGUGGCCUUGCCACUCCUUUGGUUUUGCACUCUUGAUUGCACAUCUUGAACUACCGUAAUUGAAGCAUUUUAUUUUAUUUCAGGUAUUCUUGUUGAUAUUUUUCUCAGAAUUGGGAGACAAAACUUUUUUCAUUGCGGUUAGGCUGAAUCCUUAGAGUAAUAUUUCAUUUGUGUCUAGAAAGAAUCUGUCAAUUGCCUUUUCUUUAUAUGCUAUUCUAUUUAUCACAAGUAUUAGUUUUGUAUCUUAUUUGUAUUCAGAUAACUUAAACCCUAUGUUGUUCACUAUUCUACUAUUCUUAUUUUUGGUUGGAUAGAUACCAUGGUUGUUAAUCUUUUUUCUGUGUUAACUGGUGC
rnacentral:lncRNA from 1 species